rnacentral:tRNA from 1 species
GUCGGUAGUCAAGUGGCUAAGGCAAUGGACUGCAACUCCAUGAUCGAGAGUUCAAAUCUCUCUCGA